UGGCUGGAAGGCAACACAAGAAACACCAUCAGCAAAGCUCUCCCUGGUCGUUCUUCAAUGCCGAGUCUCGGACACAGGGGCGGAUGAGAGCCAGCCGCUCACCACCCUGUCAGCUGUGCUUGGGCCCGAGUCGGUCCCGUGACCGGGUAAAAACUGUGCUCUCCUGUCAUGCUCCCGUGCCUCUGCAGCUAUCACGGAAAUUUAACACAGUUUUAUACUCUGUUAUCUUGCGACAAAAACGAUGUGAUUAGAAUGCCACCUAAGGACUCAAGAUACAUAAUAUUCCUAGGUCUUCUUACAGUUUGCUCUACGAAGCUAAACAACUGAGACUUUCCUCAUGCUGACUUCCCCGUAUAUAAAAACAAAUAAUAUCCAUAAAAACAAGAUAAAGUAAAAGUAGUAAUGCAUUGCAUUCCCCUUUUAAGUUAACAUAAAUUAAUGUUUAUGAGAUGGUAUGGGGCGAACACAUAAACAAAGACAGAUGUCCAGUCUUCAGAUUAUGACCUGAUGUAAUCUGGGAUAUCGUAACCAAAGCUUUCAAAAUAUGGAGGAACUGAGUUUAAAAAAGAAAAUAAUUCCAGGUAAAACAGCAGUCUACCACAAACUGUUUGGCAGUAAAUUAAAUAAUUAUUUUUUCUAAUACAUGAUCAAAGUUAAGGAGGCCUGGCAGAAUUAGCAUACUCUUUGAUCAGUCCCCUUCGUUAACUGAUCAAAGAAAUAACACUUUACUAGCUUUUUCUCUGCACAGACUGAAAUCCAAGGGUGCUUUCCGGAGGGCAUUUGGCAGUACGCAUCAAGGGUGAGAAGACUACAGGUAUCACUAUCAAGUACCAGCAGGCACACCUGUGAUGUUCGGCAAUGAUUAUUCAACAUUCAACAAUAUGCUGGAUGAACAGGAAAGUGGACCAAGUGACACUGUGUGUGACCUGAACUACAGCGGUGUCUUCACUCACCCGGAUGUGCUGGAGGUAGAGAGACAGAUCUCGGAUGAAAGAUUUGAUCAGUCUUUCUUGCAUUCGGAAGUUCUUUUCUGUUUCUUCAAAGGCUUCAUCUUUUAUCUGUUCAAAAUGAACAAGCGCUGUUAGCAGAUCGGAACUCUCCCUCGAUCUAUCUGAUUGACACAAGUAUCUUUCUCAAGAACAUCUUUUGUUUAAAUUUUAAUCCUCUGAUAUAUCCCUGAAUCAUACUAAGUUGAAUUUAAACACCUCUACGUGGCUUUGAAAGGUCUCCCAACUAUAUAAGCCACCCCCACCCCACCCCUUCAGACCUCACCUCCUCCGCCCCCAACGGGAACCCUUGCUCUGGUCGGUCAGGCCGCUCCCUCCCCCAGUCUCGCUGGCACCUGCCACAUGUGUUGAUUCUGGGCCUUUGCCCGGUGCUGUUCCCUUGCAUGGUGUGUCCUCUGCUUUCCCUGUGCCCAACCUGCCCCUUCCUUUAAAGGCUCAGAUUAAGUCUCUCGGCAACAUGAAGCUUAUGCUCAUUGAGCUUGUUUUCUUCAGUACUCUACAGCAUGUAGAGGACAAACUGCAAAACUUAGCCACCGACUUUUUUCUAGCUUGCAUUUCCCCUUACUGGUACCGUGUAUAUAUAGUACAGUGCGUGAAGGUCGAAGACCUUGGACCUACCCUCAGGACUGCCCACAAAUUGGUUUUCAAAUCACUCCAUCCCUCAGAUUUUAUAUUUCCUUAUGUGUGACACAUGGUGUUGAACUUGGGUGAACUCUUAAAUCCCUUCUAGGUUAAUAGGUCUGCAAUUUUAAUUUUGUCCCCUAAAUAAAUUGUACGCAUCUCAUGGGUGUCUAAAGCCACAAUUAUUAUAAGGUGAUUGAGUUUGGCCUUCUGAUUUGCCUUUGUGCACACUGGCAGCUCACCAAGGCAACCAGAGAGGGCUGGGUGGGUGGACUGACGUCACCAGUAGCUGCAGGGUCCUGUAUCCACCAGCCAGCAAACACCAGGGGAGGUACUAAGGGGGGAGUCAUCCCAGUUGACGCCAUGCAGGCUGCCCCAUGGAGCCCUGAAAAGCUGCCACAGACAAGCUGAACCUUCAAGCGCAGGACCCUCACCUGUGGGGCAAAGCCAGUGAGGUGCUUCAGGUGGCUGCUCACUCGGUUGGACUUCUUGAUGAUGGAGUGGAUGUUCAGUUUCGAAAUCUUCUCCAUGAGGCUAUCUUCAUCGCCCUUCCGAUACUUGAGGACUAGGGAGUGAGUCACGUUGAGUUAGGGAAGCUCUUUCCUGAGCACAGACUACAAAACCAGCCCAAAGCAAGGCCAACGACCCAAACUAGAGCUACUGCCUGAUUUCAAUGAGCUUAUAAUGAGUAAAGAUAAAUUAUUAAUCCAAAUCACCAUUUAUGGACAGUUAUCCAGUUAUCUCGCACGGUGAAAAUGCCGUACGGGAGUUAUGUGGCUGACCACUGGGUCACACAUUAGGCACAACCUGCAGAAAAGACGGGAGAUCACAGCAGGUGGGCUGCCGGGGGAAGGCUGGAGGGCAGCAAAAAGACAAUUCAUCUUUGAGGAAGACGAGCUUACAUCAGGAGAGAGGAGCCCAGACGGAGGGCUCGAUGGCCAGAAAGCUUCUGCAGCCACGAGCAACAUGACUUAUGGAUGUGGGUGACAUGGUAGGCAGAGAAAAGUUUUAGGGAAAGCGGGGAGAAGAGUGGAGUGACGGGAAAAGAGGUCAUACUACGUCACAGAUUCUCCAAGGAUGCAUCAGUUUAGCAUGUUCACUGUACUACUGCAGUGUUCUAAUUAGAACCUCGACAAAACGCUGAUGAGAAAGAAAAGAAAUGGUUCAGUUCAGUCUCCAUUAUAAAGGAAGAGCGGGUGGGCUGGCAACGGACUGCGCAGCGUUGGGAGGGGACGGAAGGAGCUCAGACAGGAGAGGCAGGUCACUGGGCGGAGGCGGGACUGAUGGGGUCCAGAGAUGUGGUCAUAUCAGACUUUUCUAAAAGAAGAGCAGAAGUCCUAACUGACGUGGAGAUGGUAAAACAGCCAACCAGAUGUGCCAAGCGAACAAAUGUAAGUGCGGAUUGAGAAGGACUGCCUUCCACAGGCUGAGAAGGCAAUCAUCUGUGCCCGAAGGAAUCCCUGAUGAGCCACUUUCCAAUGUCUUCGUUGUGUCCUGGGAAAGACUCUUGCUGCCAUAAGCUUUAGCAGAGACGUCUGUUUCCAAUAUUCCAUGGUUGUACUUUUAUUACUGCUGUCCCUUUUUUCCUAUCACAUUUCCCCCCAAUUCUACUACUGUUUCUUCAUCACAGUCCUAUAAACUAAAAUCUGCCUUGCCCAUCUCCAGUAAAAUAAUUUCUGUUGAGAAGGGGAACAUUCUCAAGGGCAUGCCUCCUUUGAAGCAAAUUUGCUUUUCUUACCCAGAUCCUUCCGACGUUUGUACUCGUUAAUGUUGACGUUGAUCUCCUUGACAGCCAGGACUGCGCUGGUCAAAGGCACUUUAUCUGGGUGGGACUCGGGGGUGGAAUUCAGCAACUCCAUUAGCAGCAGUGGGUAACGCAUUACUCUCUGCACUGGUUUGAUGAGGAAGGAGCCCAGAUUAAUAUAAUUUGUGCACCCCCUAUAAAAGAAGGAAAAAAAGAAACUUUAGUCCACCGUCAAUAAAUAACACAGGGCCUGCAGACAGUAUUUGUUACACCUGGAUAUAGCCCUGUCUUUCACCCUACUUCUGCUUUCAUUCAUUCACAUUUACCGGACACCUGGUAAAUACCAGGGACUGUGCCAGGUCUGGGGAUUUAAUAGACCAUAAAAAAGUCCCCGCCCUGAUGGAAGGAGACUGGCGAUAAACAAACAAAUAGCAUUUAAAUCGUCACUUGGUGUUCAGUGCUAUGGAGAAAAAUAUAGCAAGGUAAAUCCACAAUACUUCUAGGUUUCUGUCUAUAAAGGAAGAAAAUAGAGAAAUGAGUUUGUGCAAGUGGAGAGGAAACUUACCAUUCGUUGUACAGGCUCCUACAGGGCGGCGAGCAUGAAAAGAAAAGAGAGCUGAUUAGAGACAAUGCUGAUUUUCACAGUCUUCUCAGAGCAUGUCAGUUGAACGUUAAUGCCUAGUAGUUGAGUGGACAAAAGAUCACAUGGGAUAAAAAAGAAAUUAUGAAUGUCCAUGGUAGCACACAUAGUCUAUUUUUAAAAAUUAGUAAGUGCCUAACUUCACUUUGAUCUACUUAGAUAUAUACAUUAACCUACCUCCUUAAGACCAGGAGAAUCUCACCUGAUGGUCAAGAAUAAAUGAAUUUGCUCUUCUUACCUAUAUUCUUGUUUAUUUGGACCAAACUACCUUCGUGGUUACUUCUUACCUGAAAAUGCUCACUUAAUACUUUGUAUGCAUAGAUAAUAGUGACUAAAAUGGACAAGACUACGAGCAGGAAGCCACUUAAGGUUUCCAUGAUAUAUGAUGGGAAAAGGCAAGUUACCACAUUUUGCUACAUAUAAUGCACUCCCGUGUAUAAAGCAUACCAAUGUUUCGUGUGCAUUUUACACAGGAUUAUUAUGCCCAUUAUUAUACCAUGGUAUGUAAUCAUUAUACCCAUGUAUAAUGUGCAUCCUUAUUUACCCAUCAAAAAUUUAGGCAAAAAGUGUUCAUUAUACAUGGCAAAGUACAGUACCUAAUAGGACCUAUAAUGACAUAUCAUUUAUGUUUAAAAUAAGAUGGAUGGGCAUCAUAAGAAGUCUAGACCCGCACAUGGGAGUGAUGUUCAGAAGGCAGAACUAGAGAGCUAUGACAGAAACGAAGUGGUGAAACUCCUACUUAAGAUCUGCCAGGGAGUCCUGAAGAUGCCUCUGGAUCCGCUCAUCCUUCUCGUAGAUUUCCAGCAGAGAGAUGGCCUCGUCGUGGUUCUGGCAGUAAACCUUGUACGUCCCCUCGAGCUCAUCCCGGUGGUCAAGAAAUGCAGCACCUUUGAAACACACACAGAUAUACAGUAUUUUCAGACUGUCUUCUCAGCAUCCUAAAUGUAAGGUAUGUAAGCCAACUUGAAGAUCAGCUAAAUCCUAUCACAAGAAAUGAUAGUAAGACUAUACAUCAAAUUAGUAAGAAAUUUCCAUGUAAUGGCUUAAAAUUCUACUUAUUUAAAGCAAAACUGAAGAGAACUAUGUCUUCCAUGUAUUUAUUUUUCAGUGUACAAACGCAGCUGGUCCUGCAACAGUCUCCAGUCCCUUUCCAGCCAGGGACAGUAAGGGGUCUGCAAAUAUUCUCCAUGUUGUAUGUGACCAGGACCCCCCUUUCUGAGCCCCCCCAAGGUCUCCACAUCAAUGAAGAGGUCCUACUAUGGCAGCAGUUUCCAACCUCUUCUUCAUGCAUAAAUUAAAUAUGCAUGACUUUACAUGAAAUUUAUAUUAAAAUAUCUAUCAUAUACGCCCCUAAACAUAACAUGUACUUGUUAUAGAGUAUUAAACAGCAAAAUGUAGCAAUGACUCUAACAAUAGUCACUGUAAUUUCAAAGUAAGAUGAGUGACACACGAAACUGGUCAUCGUGGCUGCUUCUGGUUGACAUUCGCAACAAUCUAAUUGACGUAAGCACGUGACCAGCUGACGGUAAAGUCACAGGUACUGCUAACAGUGUGUGGUUUGUUCCCUAUAUGCAUACCUUACAACAUGCUAAAUUUCACUUAGAAAUUACUGAAAAUGAAGACGUAAUUAUUUUUUUGACCCAAGUUCAUGGGCUCCUUGAGAGACAUCCACAGACCCCCUGGCCCACAGCCUAGUGGGCACAGGUGCAGCUCCCGUUUCAUCUGGAGCUGUGGCCUGACUGUGCCGACUCCCUGACUCGUUUGUUAAACAACUGCUCUUCCUCUCGCCCUUCUUUCCUCCUCACAGCACACUUGGUCCUUCCUCCUUCAGCCUGUACUGCUCUCCCCCAAACAGUGCUCCUCUCUCAAAAUACAAUCCUGCUCAGUGCUCCCCCGUGACUAUUUCUACCAGCUGCUCUGGGCAUAAGCCCCUCCCGCAGGGAACCCCAGCCCUUGCUCUACAAUGUCACCUCUGUUCCUUCUAUGUUGUGUCCCAUGGAAUUCCUUAGUCUUGUGAAGAUCAGUUUCUGUUUAAAUUAAAUGUCUUCCCUUAAUCAUAGCCCCUGCCUAUACAGAAACUUGAUUGUGUUCAUAACCGCAACACCCAUGCUGCCCUGAUUCUGUGGCAGCCUCACGUCUGUCUAACUCUGCAACUCCAAGGGCCCAGCAGCGGGAGUGGGGCUGAUUCCUUCCAACCUUCAGGGCCACCCUGGAAUCCCAGGGCCACAGAUUCGUCAUCUGGUUUCACAUCUGAUCGUUGCCUGCCUCCUCCUCCUCCUCACUACUCCUUUGUAUCCAUUCCCUACCAGCAUCCCUAGAACCUCAGCUCUCACACAGCUGAUUGAUUAUUCACACUCUUCCCCUCCCCUUCGCUGUUCUCCAGCCUUCCCGAUAGUGACUGUUCUAUAGCGACUACAGACUAGCAAAGCUACACCUUCAUUUCCACAGUCUUUCAAACUGUGGGUCACAACCCAUACGUGGGUCAUGAAGUCUACUUCACAGGUUGUGAUCAGCACUCUUUUGGGAAAAUAAAACAGAGUAGUAAAGAACAUAUCAGAAAACGUUGCUCACAGUAAAUGUAAGUACAAACAUAUACAUACAAACAUGUAUCCUUAUGUAAAAUGUAUUUUUCUGUGGGACAUGUUUAAAACAAGUUAAAAGCCAGUCCCGUAAUGUAUUACUCCACACACAGUCUCCCGGUACUUCUUUCCCCCUCCACCUCCUCAUCCGAGCCCUGGACACCUGCCGUCCUUCCUUCCCCGCCGGACCCUGUCCCGGCUGCACUGGGAUCCUUCUCCACUCAGGGUGAGUGAGUUAACUCAGUGCUGCUCUCUCUCUCCAGCACCCUGGGUUCCCUCGACUUUUUGCUGAGUUAUCCCGCUUCCCUGGGUUAUAAAAACUGCUUGGAAGGUACAGUGUUGAGAGGGGAAAAAGGCUUAGUGCAGGACAGUCUGAAGUACGCCGCCACUGGUAUAAUUUUUAAAAAUGGGGUGGUGGACUGAAGUGAAAAAUACAUAUGUAAGCGCUGAUACAUGAUAAACUAUCUCUGGAAGGAGAUACAAGAAAAGUGGUGACACUGGUUG